rnacentral:rRNA from 1 species
UACGAGUGCUCCAAGCGUUAUCCGGAAUCAUUGGGCGUAAAGGGUGUGUAGGUGGUUGUGUUAGUCUUUUGUUAAAUUCUUCGGCUUAACCGGGGGCAUGCGAAAGAAACGGCACAACUAGAGGAUGCGAGAGGUGAACGGAACUCAUGGAGUAGGGGUGAAAUCCGUUGAUAUCAUGGGGAACACCAAAUGCGAAGGCAGUUCACUGGCGCACUCCUGACACUGAGACACGAAAGCGUAGGUAGCGAAUGGG